UACGUAGGGAGCAAGCGUUGUCCGGAAUCAUUGGGCGUAAAGAGCGCGUAGGCGGCCCAGUAAGUCCGUUCUGAAAGUCGGAGGCUCAACCUCCGAAAGCGGAUGGAUACUGCUGGGCUAGAGUCCGGAAGAGGCGAGUGGAAUUCCUGGUGUAGCGGUGGAAUGCGCAGAUAUCAGGAGGAACACCAACGGCGAAGGCAGCUCGCUGGGACGGUACUGACGCUGAGACGCGAAAGCGUGGGGAGCGAACAGG
rnacentral:rRNA from 1 species